GGCUCAGAUAGUCUAGGGGUAAGACAAUUCAGUUGUAUUGCCAGCCACGAAUAGACGUAGGUUCAAUUCCUACUCUGGCCG